rnacentral:rRNA from 1 species
GAUGAACGCUGGCGGCGUGCCUAAUACAUGCAAGUCGAGCGAACAGAUGAGGAGCUUGCUCCUCUGACGUUAGCGGCGGACGGGUGAGUAACACGUGGAUAACCUACCUAUAAGACUGGGAUAACUUCGGGAAACCGGAGCUAAUACCGAAUAAUAUAUUGAACCGCAUGGUUCAAUAGUGAAAGACGGUUUUGCUGUCACUUAUAGAUGGAUCCGCGCCGCAUUAGCUGGUUGGUAAGGUAACGGCUUACCAAGGCAACGAUGCGUAGCCGACCUGAGAGGGUGAUCGGCCACACUGGAACUGAGACACGGUCCAGACUCCUACGGGAGGCAGCAGUAGGGAAUCUUCCGCAAUGGGCGAAAGCCUGACGGAGCAACGCCGCGUGAGUGAUGAAGGUCUUCGGAUCGUAAAACUCUGUUAUUAGGGAAGAACAAAUGUGUAAGUAACUAUGCACGUCUUGACGGUACCUAAUCAGAAAGCCACGGCUAACUACGUG